AAAAAGAUAAGCUAAUAAAGCUAAUGGGUUCAUACCCCAUCUAUAAAGGUACACUCCUUUUCUUUUUA
rnacentral:tRNA from 1 species